CACUCCUACGGGAGGCAGCAGUGGGGAAUUUUGGACAAUGGGCGCAAGCCUGAUCCAGCCAUGCCGCGUGCGGGAAGAAGGCCUUCGGGUUGUAAACCGCUUUUGUCAGGGAAGCAAAGGUUCUGGCUAAUACCUGGGACUCAUGACGGUACCUGAAGAAUAAGCACCGGCUAACUACGUGCCCGCAGCCGCGGUACUACGUAGGGUGCAAGCGUUAAUCGGAAUUACUGGGCGUAAAGCGUGCGCAGGCGGUUAUGCAAGACAGAGGUGAAAUCCCCGGGCUCAACCUGGGAACUGCCUUUGUGACUGCAUGGCUAGAGUACGGUAGAGGGGGAUGGAAUGCAGCGUGUAGCAGUGAAAUGCGUAGAUAUGCGGAGGAACACCGAUGGCGAAGGCAAUCCCCUGGACCUGUACUGACGCUCAUGCACGAAAGCGUGGGGAGCAAACAGGAUUAGAUACCCCGGUAGUCCCA
rnacentral:rRNA from 1 species